rnacentral:rRNA from 1 species
CCUACGGGAGGCAGCAGUGAGGAAUAUUGGUCAAUGGACGAGAGUCUGAACCAGCCAAGUAGCGUGAAGGAUGACUGCCCUAUGGGUUGUAAACUUCUUUUAUAAAGGAAUAAAACGAGGCACGUGUGCCUUUUUGCAUGUACUUUAUGAAUAAGGAUCGGCUAACUCCGUGCCAGCAGCCGCGGUAAUACGGAGGGUGCAAGCGUUGUCCGGAAUCAUUGGGCGUAAAGGGUUCGUAGGUGGCAUAUUAAGUCUGGUGUGAAAUGCAGAAGCUCAACUUGUGUUCUGCACUGGAUACUGGUAAGCUUGAGUGCGGUAGAGGUAGAGGGAAUUCCUGGUGUAGCGGUGAAAUGCUUAGAUAUCAGGAGGAACAUCGGUGGCGUAAGCGCUUUACUGGGCCGUAAUUGACACUGAGGAACGAAAGCGGGGGUAUCAAAUGGGAUUAGAUACCCUGGUAGUC